GUCCACACUGUAAACGAUGAUUACUAGGUGUGGGAGGUCUGACCCCUUCCGUGCCGCAGUUAACGCAAUAAGUAAUCCACCUGGGGAGUACGACCGCAAGGUUGAAACUCAAAGGAAUUGACGGGGGCCCGCACAAGCAGUGGAUUAUGUGGUUUAAUUCGAAGCAACGCGAAGAACCUUACCAGGUCUUGACAUCCAACUAACGAACUAGAGAUAGAUUAGGUGCCCUUCGGGGAAAGUUGAGACAGGUGGUGCAUGGUUGUCGU
rnacentral:rRNA from 1 species